rnacentral:lncRNA from 1 species
UUUUUCACUCUUUUGCAUCUUUGAUAGCCUUUAGAAUGAUUUCCUUCUCUGUGAAUGAUUUGCCAUCAAAUAAAAGUUUGUUACGAGAUUUCCAUAGAUUCCAAAGGAUCUAUGGCCACAGUGGUAUAUAGAGGCCCACAGGGGGCAAAAUCGCCAUCCUAUCCCCAACCGUAAGGAGGGUAGCAAGAGAUGGCAGAGAAGUAUCUGAUGUCCACGCCACCGGAGCAAUCUCCCAAACAGACACCGCAAGAGGACAAGAGAUAAAGGUGGGAAGAUCGUCCUCCACACCGCCACACAGCUUGCAGCAGAAAGUAUGAAUUCCACGGCGAGCAAGAUUUGU